AUUGAACGCUGACGGCAGGCCUAACACAUGCAAGUCGAGCGGAUGAAGGGAGCUUGCUCCUGGAUUCAGCGGCGGACGGGUGAGUAAUGCCUAGGAAUCUGCCUGGUAGUGGGGGAUAACGUCCGGAAACGGGCGCUAAUACCGCAUACGUCCUGAGGGAGAAAGUGGGGGAUCUUCGGACCUCACGCUAUCAGAUGAGCCUAGGUCGGAUUAGCUAGUUGGUGGGGUAAAGGCCUACCAAGGCGACGAUCCGUAACUGGUCUGAGAGGAUGAUCAGUCACACUGGAACUGAGACACGGUCCAGACUGCUACGGGAGGCAGCAGUGGGGAAUAUUGGACAAUGGGCGAAAGCCUGAUCCAGCCAUGCCGCGUGUGUGAAGAAGGUCUUCGGAUUGUAAAGCACUUUAAGUUGGGAGGAAGGGCAGUAAGUUAAUACCUUGCUGUUUUGACGUUACCAACAGAAUAAGCACCGGCUAACUUCGU
rnacentral:rRNA from 1 species